rnacentral:rRNA from 1 species
AACGAACGCUGGCGGCGCGCCUAACACAUGCAAGUCGAACGAGAAGGCGUAGCAAUACGCUUGUAAAGUGGCGAACGGGUGAGGAAUACGUGGGUAACCUACCCUCGAGUGGGGAAUAACCAACCGAAAGGUUGGCUAAUGCCGCGUACGCUUCCAUCUCUUCGGAGGUGGAAGGAAAGCUGUACCGUGGGUACAGCGCUCAAGGAUGGGCUCACGUCCUAUCAGCUUGUUGGUAGGGUAACGGCCACCAAGGCAACGACGGGUAGCUGGUCUGAGAGGACGAUCAGCCACACUGGCACUGCGACACGGGCCAGACUCCUACGGGAGGCAGCAGUGAGGAAUAUUGCGCAAUGGGCAAAGCCUGACGCAGCGACGCCGCGU